rnacentral:rRNA from 1 species
UGGGGAAUUUUGGACAAUGGGGGCAACCCUGAUCCAGCCAUGCCGCGUGAGUGAAGAAGGCCUUCGGGUUGUAAAGCUCUUUUGUCAGGGAAGAAACGGUAGUAGCGAAUAACUAUUACUAAUGACGGUACCUGAAGAAUAAGCACCGGCUAACUACGUGCCAGCAGCCGCGGUAAUACGUAGGGUGCAAGCGUUAAUCGGAAUUACUGGGCGUAAAGCGUGCGCAGGCGGUUGUGUAAGUCAGAUGUGAAAUCCCCGGGCUCAACCUGGGAAUUGCAUUUGAGACUGCACGGCUAGAGUGUGUCAGAGGGGGGUAGAAUUCCACGUGUAGCAGUGAAAUGCGUAGAUAUGUGGAGGAAUACCGAUGGCGAAGGCAGCCCCCUGGGAUAACACUGACGCUCAUGCACGAAAGCGUGGGGAGCAAACAGGAUUAGAUACCCUAGUAGUCCCUGAGCGGGCUGGCAAGGCGCAU